AGUGGCGAACGGGUGAGUAAUACAUCGGAACGUGUCCGCUCGUGGGGGACAACCAGCCGAAAGGUUGGCUAAUACCGCAUGAGUUCUACGGAAGAAAGAGGGGGACCCGCAAGGGCCUCUCGCGAGCGGAGCGGCCGAUGACUGAUUAGCCAGUUGGUGAGGUAACGGCUCACCAAAGCAACGAUCAGUAGCUGGUCUGAGAGGACGACCAGCCACACUGGGACUGAGACACGGCCCAGACUCCUACGGGAGGCAGCAGUGGGGAAUUUUGGACAAUGGGCGCAAGCCUGAUCCAGCUAUUCCGCGUGUGGGAUGAAGGCCCUCGGGUUGUAAACCACUUUUGUAGAGAACGAAAAGACACCAUCGAAUAAAUGGUGUUGCUGACGGUACUCUAAGAAUAAGCACCGGCUAACUACGUGCCAGCAGCCGCGGUAAUACGUAGGGUGCGAGCGUUAAUCGGAAUUACUGGGCGUAAAGGGUGCGCAGGCGGUUGAGUAAGACAGAUGUGAAAUCCCCGAGCUUAACUCGGGAAUGGCAUAUGUGACUGCUCGACUAGAGUGUGUCAGAGGGAGGUGGAAUUCCACGUGUAGCAGUGAAAUGCGUAGAUAUGUGGAAGAACACCGAUGGCGAAGGCAGCCUCCUGGGACAUAACUGACGCUCAGGCACGAAAGCGUGGGGAGCAAAC
rnacentral:rRNA from 1 species